GGCAAUUUGGCCGAGUGGUCUAAGGCGCCAGAAUCAGGAUCUGGUCCGAAAGGGCGUGGGUUCGAAUCCCACAGUUGUCA
rfam:Sistotremastrum suecicum HHB10207 ss-3 unplaced genomic scaffold SISSTscaffold_211, whole genome shotgun sequence.